rnacentral:rRNA from 1 species
CCUACGGGAGGCAGCAGUGGGGAAUAUUGCACAAUGGGCGAAACCCUGAUGCAGCGACGCCGCGUGAGUGAAGAAUUACUUCGUUAUGUAAAGCUCUAUCAGCAGGGAAGAAAAUGACGGUACCUGAGUAAGAAGCCCCGGGUAACUACGUUCCAGCAGCCGCGGUAAUACGUAGGGGGCAAGCGUUAUCCGGAUUUACUGGGGGGAAAGGGAGCGUAGACGGCAGUGCAAGUCUGGAGUGAAAGGCGGGGGGUCAACCCCCGGACUGCUGUGGAAACUGUACGGCUGGAGUGCAGGAGAGGUAAGUGGAAUUCGUAGUGUAGCGGUGAAAUGCGUAGAUAUUAGGAGGAACACCAGUGGCGAAGGCGGCUUACUGGACUGUAACUGACGUUGAGGCUCGAAAGCGUGGGGAGCAAACAGGAUUAGAUACCCUGGUAGUC